GCAAGUAUAGUUUAAACAAAACAUUAGUCUGUGAUCCUAAAAAUAGAAGUUAAAUCCUUCUUACCUGCCAAGGGGAGGU
rnacentral:tRNA from 1 species